UACGAACUGUGCGAACGUUAUUCGGAAUCACUGGGCUUAAAGGGUGCGUAGGCGGCCGGUCAAGUAGGGUGUGAAAUGCCUCGGCUCAACCGAGGCGCUGCGCUCUAAACUGUCCGGCUCGAGUGGGAUAGGGGUGUGCGGAACUUCCGGUGGAGCGGUGAAAUGUGUUGAUAUCGGAAGGAACACCGGUGGCGAAAGCGGCACACUGGGUCUCGACUGACGCUGAGGCACGAAAGCCAGGGUAGCGAACGGG
rnacentral:rRNA from 1 species